GCCAACAGCGUUACCUGCAUGAACUUCUGAAAAUAAUGGCAUCAAAAUGUUCCGUGGUGGGCGGGGCGGGGGUGGAACGUGUGUGCACCGCACUGCUACUGGCAGUCGGAUUUCAUGUGGCGUGCUUAAGACACUUGAGGGGAAUGACUGCCCCCAGUGGACAGGUGUAAAGCAACACGUACACGUUCUAUACGCUGAAUUUUUGCGUUUGUGCGAGGUGACCUGGACGCCCUUGAAGUUCACACAUAGCUCAAUGACGUCGGAGUCGUCGUUCUCUCGCACGGCCGUCGUCCGCGAACUCCAUCCUUCGACGUGAGAAGAACGUGAGUGACCGAGACUUCCGAGCGUGUGAACGUGCGUGCCUGCGUGUCAGGAUGAGGCUCACUCUUGAGAAAUUCACGCAAGUCCGUCGAGUCCGUAUCUGCAUUUUUUACAGGACCUUCCUGUACAAAAUGAUGGCAGUAAUGACUGUGGUAUAUUCAUGUUAAUGGUAAGUGAAAGCUUGACUCGAAGGCAAAAACAUGUCCAACAGUGAUUUAUAUUCCAAACAUGCAGCUAUACCUUUCCUUCACUGGCGUAAGACUCAUCAGCUUCGUGAUGUCAUGCAUGGAAAGAAAAUCAGGUUUUGAUGUAUUUGCACAUUUCGCAGUACUCCUGGUAUACUGUCACGGGGGUUCCAUUUGAUUUGACAGGUGUAAGUAUGGCCGUCAGCAAUGGUGUAGCGGUCCACUUGCCUGACUUUGGUGCGGGCAGCGUGGGUUCAGUUCCCACUCAGUGACGGUGCGAAUGUGAGUUUGAGUCUAAAUGUGCACUGCUACCAGUUCAGGGUGUAGUCCGCCUUUCGCCCAAAGUCAGCUGGGAUAGGCUCCGGUGCCCUGUGACCCUAACCAGGAUAAGCGCUGUUGAAAAUGGAUGGCUGCAGGUGCAAGUAUGAUGCUACUACGCGUAUAUCACCAUAACAUGUUUCAUUUGCCUUUCAUUAUUCCAGCCCCUUUGAAGCCCUUAUGUUUGUUGAUUUUGGGGGGGGGGGGGGGGUGGUCUUCUCACGCAUGCAGUUUAAGGAUGUAUAAUCUCAUUUGUCUGUUCUUAAUUUGUGGGCUUGGUACAAUCCUUUUUGUAGCCUACUGAAAUUGUAUUGCACGCAUCUGCCACAUCUGUCUAGGUGGUGGUGCACAAUCCUAUUGGAGAACCUGGAGAUUGAAGGUUACGGUCGCGGAUUUGCGCAUUAUACCAACGAAGGCGCCCAGAUGGCCAGCGGAUCUCUGCGACCAAUCUUCCGCAUCUCCAGGAAGAGGAAAUUUGAGAUUGACAUGGAACCUCAGAUCUCUUUGAUGCAGGCCAGUCAAGGUGCGGUCAAGUCCCAUCUUUCAGGCACGCAUCAAUAUUUCAUUGUCGUAAAGUUAUGGAAGUGAAGCACAUUUAUGAGCUGAUGACAAACACGCACUGGCUAGUCAUCAGACAAAUCUACAUGGAGUGCCCACUUGACACUGUUCCAUCGCUUACUAAUUUGUGAUUACUCUAGUGUUUUUUUGUGAAUUUAAGACUUAUGAAAGCCCUACAAUGAUCAAAGCAUUUUUAGUGUUAAAAUGAGACCUUAUACCCAGAAAAAAAUUCACAGAAAUUCCUAUUUCGCAGGUGGUUCUGGCACGAAACCAGCAUCAAGUAGGAGGUAUCGCUGUAUACUGUACAUGUAUACAGUGUGUGUGUGUGUAUAUAUAUGAUUUUUUGCAUACUAUUGUAUCACUAUCAAACUUUCUGAUAUUUGUAAAACAAAAACAUGGUUUUUCAUAUAUAAACAAUCAGGAAAUGUGAUUUUGUUAAUGAAGACUUCAAAAUGCUUUGUAUUUGUAAAAAUAAAUUGAAAUUAAAUCUUUAUCAUCCCAUUUUAUUUGAUUAAUUUGAGUAUAAUUUAAUAUAAUUAUUUGUCAAUUUAUUUUAUCAACUAUGUUUAUUAUUAUUAGACUUAAUUUUGUAAAUGGAUGGCUGCAGACUCUAUUGGAGACUCUAAAUUGCCCGUAGGCAUGACUGUGAGUGCGAAUGGUUGUUUGUUUGUAUGUGCCCUGCGAUUGGCUGGCAACCA